UUUUAAAUUUUUUAAUUAUUAUUAUUAUUAUUUUUAAAAUAUUAUUUAAUUUAUUAUUUAAAAAGAAAAAUUUAUUUUUAUUAUAGUUUAUUAGUAAAGUGAUUGAAUUUUUUUAUAUUGUUAAAAGAAAAAUUUAUUUUUUGUACGUUGUGUAUCAGGCUUGAUUAAUUUUAUUAUUAUUAUGUUAAUUUUUCUUGAAUUAAGAAGAGCUAAUUAUAUAUUUGUUUAAUUUUUUCAUAAAUUUUCUUAAUAUUUAAUUUGAAAUGAAAUGUUAUUCGUUUCUUAAUAUAUCUAGUUUUUUAAGAAAAGAAUUUAAUUCUCUUAUUAUUUGUUAUUAGUUAAUUUUUAGUUAAUAAUUUUUAGUAUGAAAUAAAUAAAGGGAUAAGCUUUUAUUUAAAUAAUUAAAAAUUUAUUUUAUUAUAUUUUUAGUAUAAUUUAAAUUGUUAAUCAUUUUUAUAAUAUAAUAGUUAAUUUUAUUUAGUUAAUAAUUUAUAUUUAUUUUAAUUUUUAUAUUAAAAAUUUAUGUUUAAUUUAUUAACUUUUUUAUAAUGAUUAAAUUAGUAGAUAAUUAUGUAUUAUAUUAUUUUAUUAUUAGAUAAUAAAAAAGAACUCGGCUAAUAAUAUUUCGCCUGUUUUUUAAAAACAUGUCUUUUUGAUUAUAAUUUAAGGUUUAAUCUGCACAUUGAUUUAUUAAAUUGCCGCAGUAUUUUGACUGUGCAAAGGUAGCAUAAUAAUUAGCUUUUUAAUUGGAAGCUGGAUUGAAUGAUUGGACGAGAUAAUUUCUGUCUCUUUAUUAUUUAUUAUUUAAUUUAACUUUUAAGUUAAAAGGCUUAAAAAUUUUUAAAAGACGAGAAGACCCUAUACAGUUUUAAUUUUAUUUUUUAAUUUAAUUUUGGGAUUUUAAGUAUUUUAUUAAAUGAUAAAUUUAGUUGGGGUGACUAAAAGAUUAAUUUAACUCUUUUAUUUAUAAUCAUUUAUUUAUGAAUAAUAUAAUUAUUUUUAUAAAUUUAAAAUAAAUUACCUUAGGGAUAACAGCGUUAUUUUUUUUUAUAGUUCUUAUAGAAAGGAAAGAUUGCGACCUCGAUGUUGGAUUAAAAUUUAUUUUGGGUGUAGAAGCUUGAAUAUUAAGUCUGUUCGACUUUUAAAAUUUUACAUGAUCUGAGUUUAAACCGGUGUGACCCAGGUUGGUUUCUAUCUUUAAAUUUUUAAUAUAUUUUAGUACGAAAGGACCAAAUAUAUAAUAUAUUAUUUUAUUUUGAAUAGUAUU
rnacentral:rRNA from 1 species